AUACGUAGGGGGCAAGCGUUGUUCGGAAUCAUUGGGCGUAAAGGGCGCGCAGGCGGCCGUCCAAGUCCGGUGUUAAAUGGUCGGGCUCAACCCGAUCAUGCGCUGGAAACUGGGCGGCUUGAGUCCCGUAGGGGAUGCCGGAAUUCCAGGUGUAGGGGUGAAAUCUGUAGAUAUCUGGAAGAACACCGAUGGCGAAGGCAGGCAUCUGGCCGGAGACUGACGCUGAGGCGCGAAGGCGCGGGGAGCGAACAGGUUUAGAUACCCUGGUAGUCCGCGCAGUAAACGAUGCGCACCAGGUGUCGGGCGGCAGCGCCCGGUACCGGAGCUAACGCGAUGAGUGCGCCGCCUGGGGAGUAUGCCCGCAAGGGUGAAACUCAAAGGAAUUGACGGGG
rnacentral:rRNA from 1 species